AUUGAACGCUGGCGGAAUGCUUUACACAUGCAAGUCGAACGGUAGAGGGGGCAACCCCUCGAGAGUGGCGAACGGGUGAGUAAUAUAUCGGAACGUGCCCAGUCGUGGGGGAUAACGUAGCGAAAGUUACGCUAAUACCGCAUACGAUCUACGGAUGAAAGCGGGGGAUCGCAAGACCUCGCGCGAUUGGAGCGGCCGAUAUCAGAUUAGGUAGUUGGUGGGGUAAAGGCUCACCAAGCCAACGAUCUGUAGCUGGUCUGAGAGGACGACCAGCCACACUGGAACUGAGACACGGUCCAGACUCCUACGGGAGGCAGCAGUGGGGAAUUUUGGACAAUGGACGCAAGUCUGAUCCAGCCAUUCCGCGUGCAGGAUGAAGGCCCUCGGGUUGUAAACUGCUUUUGUACGGAACGAAAAGGUUUCUAUUAAUACUAGGAGCUCAUGACGGUACCGUAAGAAUAAGCACCGGCUAACUACGUGCCAGC
rnacentral:rRNA from 1 species